GGCUUCAGCUGUUGUGCGUUGAUACACCUGAUCCCUUGAUCUCGGAAGUUGAGCAACAUGCAGUCGUGUCAGUACUUGGAUGGGAGAGCACAAUGGAAGACUGGAUGUUGUGGCCG
rfam:Branchiostoma floridae genomic scaffold BRAFLscaffold_196, whole genome shotgun sequence.